ACAUUAAGCUAGAAAUUGCAUGAUAGUAUUUUGCAAGAUUAAUGACUUCUUUGUUGUAAUGUAAAUUGUGACUAUACAAGUGAACCUCACCUGAUGGAAAAAUAAGAAUCAGAUUGACUGCAUUCAUGGAAAGAGACAAUGGAGAAGCUCAAUAUCAUCAGCCAAAGCAAGGAUGGGGAAAAAUGUGGAGCUGGCCAUCAAGUGCACAUAAAUUGGUGAGUUGCAUAAAUUGGGAAGGUAAUGAUCACAAUGCCAUUAUGGGAAUGGUUGAAGAAAUACUGGAAAGGAGAUAGCUAUUUCUAUGUGGUUCUGGAUGGAACUGCUCCGAGUACUCGCCAAUUAAUUCACUUUCAUCAGCCUGAGAAAACAACCUCAAAAUUUGAUGCCAGACAGUAGGUGAUUUGCUUUAUCAAAUACCUAAAAUAUAGAAUGGAAUACCUCUAGGAACAAGCUGAUGAAACACUAGAAGAACUCACUCAUCUAUGUCAAUAAAUUUGGAAGACAGCUGCUUGGCUAAUCUGCUGGAAGAGAUCAAUAUUUGUACCGAUUCCAAAUAAGGGUUUGCCAAACUGCUCAAAUUAUCAAUCAAUAUUAUUAUCACAUGCAAGUAAAUUUUUGCUAAAGAUCAUCCAACAAUAGUUGCAGCAGUACAUUGACAAUGAGUUGCCAGAGGUUCCGGCUAGAUUCAGAUGAGGAGGUGAAGCAAGGGAUAACAUUGCUGAUGUCAGAUGGCUCUUGGCUGA